UACGGGGGGGGCAAGCGUUGUUCGGAAUUACUGGGCGUAAAGGGCUCGUAGGCGGCCAACUAAGUCAGACGUGAAAUCCCUAGGCUCAACCUAGGAACUGCGUCUGAUACUGGAUGGCUUGAAUCCGGGAGAGGGAUGCAGAAUUCCAGGUGUAGCGGUGAAAUGCGUAGAUAUCUGGAGGAAUACCGGUGGCGAAGGCGGCAUCCUGGACCGGCAUUGACGCUGAGGAGCGAAAGCCAGGGGAGCGAACGGG
rnacentral:rRNA from 1 species